CUACCACUAUUUCUUAAAUUGAACACUAACUAUUUAUUAAACUGAACAUUGACUAUUUCUUAAACUAAACAAUGGUACUACCACUAUUUCAUAAACUGAACACAUCCUAUUUCUAUAACGAUUUAGGUUCGUGAUACAAACAAUAAAUUCUAAAGUACAACGAAAAGGUGUCUUUAGUUUGCCUGUAAGCAAUGUAGUUCACCACUUCAAUCAAAGGAGCAAUUUUUGCUUACACGUAUAAAGAGCAUGGAAGAUGCUUCGGGAAUUAACAUAUUUGUCACUCAUAAUGCACCCUCAGCUAAAUGAUUAGGUAUUAUUUAUGUACAAACAUUUGAGAUGUUAUGUUGCAGUAUAACAAUUUAUGAGUGUUUUGUUCGAAAAAAACGUUUUAUGAAUAGUAUUUAGAACAACACAUAUGCAAUGAAAUGUGUAGUUUUAUUUGCAAUUUGAAUGUUGGUUUAGUGUAAUCAAAUAAUCAAUACCAGCAUUUUAUUUACUGGGAUUUCAGUUUUGUUCCAUCUACUCAUAGUGCAAUUGUUAAUUCAUAAAAUGUGUUCAAAUCUUCUGACUUUUAUUUUCUAAAAAUAAUAGAGGAGAUAGUAUGCAACACUACAUUACUAUUAAGUUGGGUAGAUACUAUAGUUUAACUUAU
rnacentral:lncRNA from 1 species